AUUGAACGCUGGCGGCAUGCCUUACACAUGCAAGUCGAACGGCAGCACGGGAGCAAUCCUGGUGGCGAGUGGCGAACGGGUGAGUAAUAUAUCGGAACGUGCCCAGUCGUGGGGAUAACGUAGCGAAAGCUACGCUAAUGCCGCAUACGAUCUAUGGAUGAAAGCGGGGGAUCGCAAGACCUCGCGCGAUUGGAGCGGCCGAUAUCAGAUUAGGUAGUUGGUGAGGUAAAGGCUCACCAAGCCGACGAUCUGUAGCUGGUCUGAGAGGACGACCAGCCACACUGGGACUGAGACACGGCCCAGACUCCUACGGGAGGCAGCAGUGGGGAAUUUUGGACAAUGGGCGCAAGCCUGAUCCAGCAAUGCCGCGUGCAGGAUGAAGGCCUCGG
rnacentral:rRNA from 1 species